rnacentral:rRNA from 1 species
UGAGGAAUAUUGGUCAAUGGUCGGGAGACUGAACCAGCCAAGCCGCGUGAGGGAUGAAGGUACAGAGUAUCGUAAACCUCUUUUGUCAGGGAACAAAAGGCGCCACGCGUGGCGCUCCGAGUGUACCUGAAGAAAAAGCAUCGGCUAACUCCGUGCCAGCAGCCGCGGUAAUACGGAGGAUGCGAGCGUUAUCCGGAUUUAUUGGGUUUAAAGGGUGCGUAGGCGGCGAGUUAAGUCAGCGGUAAAAGCCCGGGGCUCAACCCCGGCCCGCCGUUGAAACUGGCUUGCUUGAGUUGGAGAGAAGUAGGCGGAAUGCGCGGUGUAGCGGUGAAAUGCUUAGAUAUCGCGCAGAACUCCGAUUGCGAAGGCAGCCUACCGGCUCCAGACUGACGCUGAGGCACGAAAGCAGUGGUGAUCGAACAGAUAUGAUACC